ACUGGCUCCAUAAAAAAGAAAACAUUCUUUAUAAUUUAAGUUCUCUUAUCUUUCAAAUGAAUUUUCAAUGUUCACAUUGUGGCUAGAGCUGGCUGCUCUAAGUAACCUUGAAUUAGUGGUACCAUAGACAGUGAGUUUGAUCUCAAUGUCAGUAACCUGGCAUCUGCAGUUUCAAAGUAGGCAGAAAGGACAAGACAGAGAGCUUAACAGACUCAGUAAGAUUUGGUGACCAGAACCUUGUAACUUUCUGUUGCACUGAUGUAACUCUCUGUUGCACUGAUGUAACUUUUUCAGUUUCUUUGCCACUAAUGGAAGAAUCUCCUUGCAGCCAUAAGAUGACUACAAAGCCUUACACUGCCUGUUUGUCCAGAGAAGACAAAGUUCCCAAGGGGGCACUGCAUAGCCUAGUCACUCAAGCAUUUCUGGACCUUAAAACACAUCAGAGAUGGCAUGAGAUGGUUGCGAAAAAGAUGGAAUUUUCCUGAAGUGGUGCUGGGAUAAUUUGUUAUCUACAUGGCACAAAAUGAAAUCAAAUGUCUGGCACAAAUCACACAUAAAAUCAUUCCAGAUAGAUUAAAGACUUCAAUGUGAAAGGCAAAUCUUUGAAACUUUUAAAAUAAAAUGUAUUGUACCUUU